rnacentral:rRNA from 1 species
UGCCUAGUACGGCGAGUGAACAGGCAAGAGCUCAGAUUUGAAAGGCACUUUUGUGCCGUUGUAUUCUGAAGUUAGGGUCCUGAGAAACGAUGCUUAAGUCUUCUGGAAAGGAGCGCCAUGGAGGGUGAUAGCCCCGUCUAGCAUUGACCUCAUAUAGGAUCUUAACAUGGAGUCGAGUUGUUUGGGAAUGCAGCUCAAAUGGGUGGUAUGCUCCAUCUAAAGCUAAAUAUCUGCGAGAGACCGAUAGUAAACAAGUACUGUGAGGGAAAGAUGAAAAGAACUUUGAAAAGAGAGUGAAAAAGUACGUGAAAUUGUUGAAAUGGAAGGGUAGGCCGCUAACCAUGUAGAGCCGUGUUUGGGGGGAAGAUAAAUGCUGUAGAAUGUAGCUCCUCGGAGUAUUAUAGAUGCAGUUCAUAUUCCCACCCGAGCGCGAGGAUCUCAGGUUCUACUAAAUGGUGGUCUACCACCCGUCUUGAAACACGGACCA